GCGAGUGCAAUUCCCAUUCACAUUUGACCCUUCCAAGCCGGCGAGAACAUAUGUGAAUUUCAAAUCAAAGGAGCACAGGGUCAUUACAUUUGGUGGGACUUUACCCUUUUUACUGUGGAACUUCAGCUGGCAAUCUUACAAAUGCUGGGUUGUGUUCCAUCUAUGGCUCAUACACUGUUGUUUAUUGGAAAAUGCAAAUGUGAAGCACUUUGAAGAAGGUGGACAAAGAAGAAACUCAGGAUCAAAGCCGGUGAGGCAAGCAUCUUGUGACUCACAUAUGAAGGCAUUGUGUUCUUCUCUAGACGUUGCUUUAUUUUCCUAUUUCUUUUUAAGCAUGAGCCCAAGGAGCUAAAAUUGAGGAUGAUUAUGAUUUGUUGCUCGUGUUCUAUAUUGUAUUGAGGUGUUUGUUGGAUGCUGGCAGAAAGAAUGGCUUUUUUUUCAGUAAAUCCAUAUUCAUGCAUUAGAUUCUUUCA